rnacentral:rRNA from 1 species
GACGAACGCUGGCGGCGUGCCUAAUACAUGCAAGUAGAACGCUGAAGAGAGGAGCUUGCUCUUCUUGGAUGAGUUGCGAACGGGUGAGUAACGCGUAGGUAACCUGCCUUGUAGCGGGGGAUAACUAUUGGAAACGAUAGCUAAUACCGCAUAACAAUGGAUGACACAUGUCAUUUAUUUGAAAGGGGCAAUUGCUCCACUACAAGAUGGACCUGCGUUGUAUUAGCUAGUAGGUGAGGUAACGGCUCACCUAGGCGACGAUACAUAGCCGACCUGAGAGGGUGAUCGGCCACACUGGGACUGAGACACGGCCCAGACUCCUACGGGAGGCAGCAGUAGGGAAUCUUCGGCAAUGGGGGCAACCCUGACCGAGCAACGCCGCGUGAGUGAAGAAGGUUUUCGGAUCGUAAAGCUCUGUUGUAAGUCAAGAACGAGUGUGAGAGUGGAAAGUGCACACUGUGACGGUAGCUUACCAGAAAGGGACGGCGAACUACGG